GGGCGGGGCCGCGCGCUCGCCCGCCCAUCCCGCGGCCGCCCGGGUCCGCCGCGCCGCUCCGCGCCUCGCUGCGGCCGCUCGGGGAGGGGUCGGGUCACGUUCCGUUCCGGAGUUCGGCGACUCGCAGGCAGGUUCCGCAGGCGCCGCUGGGAGGAGCCGGGGCUGCCCGAGGAGGCGGCCCCGCGGCCUCCUCCUUCCGCGCCCGCGCGCCCGCCGGCCGCGACCCCGGGCCCGGGGCUGCGCCCCAACAGAUUUAUUCAUUAGAGGAGAGAGAGAACGCAAGCAGAGAAGAGGGAGAAGCAGGCUCCCCAUUCAGCAGGGACCCUGAUGCGGGAUUUGAUCCCAGGACUCUGGGAUCAUGAUCUGAGCUGAAGGCUGAUGCUUAACCUAAUCAGACACCCAGUCACCCCAAGAAGCUUGACUGUUAAGGAAAAAAGGAUCAUACCUCGCUACAGACAGACGCUCCACACCCAGCAUGGAACCCAACGUGGGGCUUGAACUCAUGACCCUGAGCUCAAGACCUGAGCUGAAAUCAAGAGUUUGAUGCUUAACCGACUGAACCACCCAGGCUCCCUAAUAGUGACAUUCUUAAAAGAAAUAGCAAAGUCAAAGUUGGAGGUCUGAUUGGGGUGGGGGAGGUGGAUUGAGCUACAUUUUAGACAUGUCAUAUUUAGGUUUAUGAUGGACAGUGAAUUGAAAAUAUUCACAAGAAACGACUGCUGGCCAGUGAUAUUUUCGACAAGAGGCACAUUCUAGGAAGAUCUGUGAAAAGCAGACAUCUGGAGGAUGGAUGCCCACCACGAAGUAUUACCCGCACCUCUCCCCACAACCUCUAUUUAUUAGUAGAAAUUACCCUAGCAAUGCACAGCCCCUAAAUGGGUUGACUUCCCGGCUGAGCAGCUCUCCAGGCAGGACAGAUAUGAAAGUAGUGAAGUGCGGAGGCUCUGGGGCCAGAUCUGUUUGCUUCCCACCUCUGCCACUUACUACUAUCUGAUUUCAAGAAAACUAGCACACUAAACUUCUGUUCUCUUAUUUACAAAACGGAAUAAUACAAAUUUCCAUCUCAUUGGCUUGAUGAGAGGAUUACAUGAGACUCUUUAAGUGUAGCCCUUUAUAAAAGGUUUAUAAGAUGUGAUAUAAAUGCCAAGGAUGGCUAUUAAUCCUGUCUCUCCUAGAGGUUAUGAGUUAUAUUUAUAUUUCUUAUCCAUCCAUUAUGGUGCCAAACACAAGAAGCACUCUCUUCUAACUGCUGAUCACUUUGCCCCCUUAACAGUGGUCUUCUGCCUCUCCCUGUGUCUUAGUCCCUUUGGGAACUUUGUUACCUUUGAUUGUGUGAAGGCCUUGAAUGUCAAGCAGCAUCUCUGGGGCAAGAUAGUCUGUCCACCUUGGGAGAAACCCACUGUAUUAGUUUUCUAUUGCUGCUCUAAAGAAAUUACCACAUGCCUUAGUAGCUAAAAACCACAGAGUUGGGUGCUCAACUGACUGAGCCACCCAGGCGCCCCCUACAUUUAUUUCUUUACCAGAACCUCAACAGCCGUGUUUUCAUUUUAGCUCCAAUUGAUGAUUAAUGGACAGCAGAGUAUGUCUUAAGAAAGACAGGUGAAAAAUAUCAGGUUGCAAGGCAAAGCAUGUAAAUAUAUCUGAGAAUGGAAUUUUUUUUAAGGAGUAAAAGGCCAUCAGUACUAUUUUAAGAGUACCAGGAGCUCAAACACUUGUAGCUGAAAAAUGGGUAAAACCUCAAUACCUUUGAGUUUCCCUCUGAAAUUCAGUAUUCCUGUCUUUUAAACUCUUUCACCUCCAACACAUAUAAAUGUGCUCAAAAUUAAUCGUCCAAAUGCUCAGUGAAGAUAAUUUUAAAAAUUUUUUCAUCAUUGAUCCUAAUUUUCCAGCAGAUAGGAGGCUAGCCUUAGUAUGGGAUUGGCAAAAUACUUAACUUGAAAAAUGGGACAUGCUAGCACUUUAGCUUUGGGCAGGACUCAAGAGAAAGCAAGGAGAGAGAGCCAACAAGUAUUAAACACCUCUUAUUGCCAAACACUGCAUUUACAUGUAUUGUCUCAAUUAAUUCUCACAACUCCAGUAGGUAGGCAUUGUUAUCCCCACUUCAAAGAUAAAGGAAUUGAGGCUUCAAGAUGUGAAGAGACUCUUCCACAAUCACACGGCUAGAAAGUGGCAGAACUGGGAUUACUGUCCAAUUCUACAUGAGUCAACACCCAUUCAUCCUCUUCCCACGGCCCUCAACUCCGCUUCCCUGAGUCCCAGUUUCCUCAUCUACAAAAUGAGAGAGUUGAGUCAGAUAAUCUCCCAAGGUCCCUCACACUCUUACCGCAGGGCCUCGGUGCUUGGGAGGGGAACAAGGAAUUGGGAAGGGGGCUCCGGCACCAGGCCGAAUGUCUUUCUCUCUUAUGUGGGAAAGUACUGGGACUCUGUCCUCCUGUACAUCUUGAUUCCCUGACUUCUGAAAGGAGGCUG